UACGGAGGGUGCGAGCGUUGUCCGGAAUCAUUGGGCGUAAAGGGCGCGUAGGCGGGAAGGAAAGUCAGAUGUGAAAUCCCCAGGCUCAACCUGGGAACUGCAUUUGAAACUCCCUUUCUUGAGUGUCGGAGAGGAAAGCGGAAUUCCUGGUGUAGAGGUGAAAUUCGCAGAUAUCAGGAGGAACACCGGUGGCGAAGGCGGUUCUCUGGGCAUUACCUGACGCUGAGGAGCGAAAGUGUGGGGAGCGAACAGG
rnacentral:rRNA from 1 species